GUCUACGGCCACACCACCCUGAAUGCGCCCGAUCUCGUCUAAUCUCGGAAGCUAAGCAGGGUCGGGGCUGGUUAGUACUUGGAUGGAAGAAAAUAAGUUCUCCAAAUA
rnacentral:rRNA from 1 species